rnacentral:rRNA from 1 species
GACACAUUGAACAUCGAGAUCUUGAACGCAUAUUGCGGCCUCGGGCACUCCCGAGGCCACGCCCGUCUCAGGGUCGGUU